CCCUUAGAUGUCCUGGGCCGCACGCGCGUUACACUGAUGCAUUCAACGAGCUUAUAACCUUGGCCGAGAGGCCUGGGCAAUCUUGUUAACGUGCAUCGUGAUAGGGAUAGAUUAUUGAAAUUAUUAAUCUUGAACGAGGAAUUCCUAGUAAACGCAGAUCAUCAAUCUGCAUUGAUUACGUCCCUGCCCUUUGUACACACCGCCCGUCGCACCUGCCGAUUGGAUGGUCCGGUGAAGCCUCGGGAUUGUGGUUCUUGCCGCUUUGUUGUGGCGUGACCGCGAGAACUUGUCUAAACCUUAUCAUCUAGAGGAAGGUGAAGUCGUAACA
rnacentral:rRNA from 1 species